rnacentral:rRNA from 1 species
GACGAACGCUGGCGGCGUGCCUAACACAUGCAAGUCGAACGGAAAGGCCCUGCUUUUGUGGGGUGCUCGAGUGGCGAACGGGUGAGUAACACGUGAGUAACCUGCCCUUGACUUUGGGAUAACUUCAGGAAACUGGGGCUAAUACCGGAUAGGAGCUCCUGCUGCAUGGUGGGGGUUGGAAAGUUUCGGCGGUUGGGGAUGGACUCGCGGCUUAUCAGCUUGUUGGUGGAGUAGUGGCUUACCAAGGCUUUGACGGGUAGCCGGCCUGAGAGGGUGACCGGCCACAUUGGGACUGAGAUACGGCCCAGACUCCUACGGGAGGCAGCAGUGGGGAAUAUUGCACAAUGGGCGGAAGCCUGAUGCAGCAACGCCGCGUGCGGGAUGACGGCCUUCGGGUUGUAAACCGCUUUCGCCUGUGACGAAGCGUGAGUGACGGUAAUGGGUAAAGAAGCACCGGCUAACUACGUG